AAAAAAGUACAGUAUAAGAUUAAACAAAGACUAGAAGAUUAUUACAAACAACAGGUGGACAUAUGUCACUGUCAAGCGAAUGAAGAUAAGCAUCACACUCGGUGGGAAUCUCCAGUUUCCAGAUGUAGUGAUCAUAACUGUAUAGGCACCAUUAACACUUUGGACUAGUUGGAGUAUUUUAGAGGGCUAGUCUGAAUUGAAUCCCCUGUCAAUAGUAAAGGCCAGUCAUGAACAUUGUGUUGAAGGAAAAUGUUAAAACUCGGAUUUCCCGCUUAACCAAUCAUUACUUUACCUUAUAUUCAGUGCGGUAAUGUAGGAAAUGGUUACUUUCUGGAACGGAGCUGUCAAUUAUUUUUAAAUUUUUAGCUUGUUAGUGUUAUCGUCGGACAGUUGUGAAGUAAAGACAUCGCAGUUUGACUGUAUACAAGUUGCGUUAAAGAAAGUAUGUCGAAAUCUUAACAGUUAUUUGUUGAUUUUGUAGAAAUUGACCAGAAUUCACCUUUGUUUACACGCAUCGCUUGGACGUCGAAAACGACAUGCAAUGACAUUUCAGUGAAAUUUGGAAACUUGCUCGUAUUUUGGAGCAUUUUGUAGGAUUUCGAUGAAGUAAAAAAGUGUUUAUGAUAGGAUACAUUAUUCCUAGAGACAACCACAAAAAUAAAAUAGUGAUCUGGUGUAUUUUUACCGAACAGUUCUUGUUUGUUUUGCAUGAUAUUUUUCUCUCGUUAGGGACCUUUAUUCUUUAUAUAUAGUAUUAUGAGCGUAUAUGGGUAAAUGUGGUAUAUAGUGCCUGUGGUUUUAUCAUGUAUCUUAGCUUGCCUGGUGUAAUGAUAAGUAAUAAACCUGAGAAUUGAAACUA